CAGCCGCCACGGGAAUACGUAGGUGGCAAGCGUUGUCCGGAAUUAUUGGGCGUAAAGGGCUCGCAGGCGGUUUCUUAAGUCUGAUGUGAAAGCCCCCGGCUCAACCGGGGAGGGUCAUUGGAAACUGGGAAACUUGAGUGCAGAAGAGGAGAGUGGAAUUCCACGCGUAGCGGUGAAAUGCGUAGAGAUGUGGACGAACACCAGUUGCGAAGGCGACUCUCUGGUCUGUAACUGACGCUGAGGAGCGAAAGCGUGGGGAGCGAACAGGAUUAGAGACCCGCGUAGUCCCUGUCUCUUAUAA
rnacentral:rRNA from 1 species